GGAAUGCGUCUGAUCACCAAUAAUAGGCUGCUUUCAUUCGUUGGCGUUGAACGUAUUGUUCAGCAAUAAUGUAAUCCAAAACGAAGCACGCAGCGGCCGGCGUCGUUUCGUCGCUGCAGAACUGGUGGUUUUGGAGCACGUACCGGAUGCUGGAGCCGAGGACGCCGGUGCCGCCGCGGGAGGUUGCUCUCGGAGGUUGCGCGCUAGGUGGUCUGGAGAAGCGGGCGGCAACGCGAAGCAAAUGUGGUGCGGCACGGCGCCAAUCUCCAUCGGCAGGAAGACCGCACGCACACCUCCGCCGACGGCGCCUCAGAUAUUCCAAGGAAUUCGAAAUCCGCGACUCAACCACGCGCCGCGAGGGUUCCGU
rnacentral:lncRNA from 1 species